CUGAUCGCCGAGCACCGGACGCCGGGCGCAAGAUCCACGUCCAGGGAGUAUGGCACGGACUUUUUGCCCAGGCAAAACACAGCUGCUAUACAUCCUCAACUUCCAAAUACUCCCUCCCGCUCCAGCGCCAUCCUCAAAUCACACCCACCCCAUGCAGGGGCGCGGCCCGGAUACUGCUUUUUACCUAGCGGGGACUAGAAACCUCGACACUUCGAUGGCACGGCCCCGACACCCCCCACCCGGCCCAAUCGCACUGCCUCGGCGUCCUUUAUUUACGAAGAGCGGGCACGCAGCCCGGACAACCCAUAAGUUGCUUUUAUUUAAAACUCCACAGAGACCCCAGCCUUGCCAGAACUCCUCACCGUCUACUUCUUCGGAGUCCCUGCACUCCGGUCUGGUCGAGUUCGUCCCAAACCAGGGAGCUAUGCCGGCCCACACGUCCCCACUCUUUGCGUCCCAACUCCAGCCAACUCACCACCCUCCAGCCAACUUCUGCAGGAAGAGGGACACGGGCCGCGGAGCACUCUGGGAAAGCGUCGCUUCCUGUUCCAAGCCUUCAGUGAAACCCAGUCGCGCCAGAGAAUCCUCCUAGGAGACAAGCCGAGGGGGUUGGCUAGAAGCCUCGAAGAACUGCAGUUACAAUCCGGAGAGCACACCGACCAGAGUUCUCCCUACAAGGAGCCGCGCUCUGAGCAUGGGAUCGGGAGAGGAUGACUCCCUGCCACGCCACGAAUUAGUUUUCCCGGACCUGGGAGUUUCAGUCCUUGGGGCUACAAUACCGAUAGAGCUGGGUGCCCACGUUUGGGCUGGGAAUUCAUUUCCCAGACCUGGGCACUGCGGGGAAGUGCGGUCUGCGGUCGGAAAGCAGUGAUGCCGCAGCCAGGUCCUCGGGCCGGGCCCCGACACGCCUGGUAGGGGCUGGGCCCGCCCGUGGAGGCGUCUGGGAAAUGUAGUGCGGGACUAGCGGGCUGGGGAUGCGGUUGAGCAGACUGAAGGGGGGCAGUCUUGGGCGCAGGAUAGGGGAAAAGGGAUUGGAGGAGAUCGAACCCUGAGUCCGGAGUGGAAAUAAUGGAAUACAAAUUUAGUGGGUUACAAUGUCAUUAUUUUAAGAUUAAGUUGCAGAGGGAUAUUUAAUGACAGAAAUACAGUAUGUUCCAGAAAUACUUAAUGGAAAAAGUGUUACUAAACUCUCUCUCUAUACACCAUGUAAUGCUGUUUUCAAAAUUUCUAUGAAUAAACAGA